rnacentral:rRNA from 1 species
UAAGGAAUAUUGGACAAUGGCCGAAAGGCUGAUCCAGCCAUGCCGCGUGCAGGAUGAAGGCGCUCAGCGUCGUAAACUGCUUUUGUUUGGGAAAAAACCCCCUCUUUCCAGAGGGGUUGAUGGUACCAAGAGAAUAAGGGACGGCUAACUUCGUGCCAGCAGCCGCGGUAAUACGAAGGUCCCAAGCGUUAUCCGGAUUUAUUGGGUUUAAAGGGUGCGUAGGCGGAUUGUUAAGUCAGUGGUGAAAGCUCUCAGCCUAACUGAGAAAUUGCCAUUGAUACUGAUGAUCUUGAGUACAUUUGAGGAGGGCGGAAUGUGUCAUGUAGCGGUGAAAUGCUUAGAUAUGACACAGAACACCGAUUGCGUAGGCAGCUCUCUAAACUGUAACUGACGCUGAGGCACGAAAGCGUGGGGAGCAAACAG